rnacentral:rRNA from 1 species
AUUGAACGCUGGCGGCAUGCUUUACACAUGCAAGUCGAACGGUAACAGGCCUUCGGGUGCUGACGAGUGGCGAACGGGUGAGUAAUGCAUCGGAACGUACCCAGAGGUGGGGGAUAACGCAGCGAAAGCUGUGCUAAUAUCGCAUGUGAUCUGAGGAUGAAAGCGGGGGACCGAGCAGCAAUGUUUGGCCUCGCGCCUUUGGAGCGGCCGAUGUCGGAUUAGCUAGUUGGUGGGGUAAAGGCCUACCAAGGCGACGAUCCGUAGCUGGUCUGAGAGGACGACCAGCCACACUGGGACUGAGACACGGCCCAGACUCCUACGGGAGGCAGCAAUGGGGAAUUUUGGACAAUGGGCGCAAGCCUGAUCCAGCAAUGCCGCGUGCGGGAAGAAGGCCUUCGGGUUGUAAACCGCUUUUGGCAGGAACGAAACGGUGUCCGCUAAUACCGGGCGCUAAUGACGGUACCUGCAGAAUAAGCACCGGCUAACUACGUG